UACGGAAGGCAGCAGUGGGGAAUAUUGCACAAUGGGCGCAAGCCUGAUGCAGCCAUGCCGCGUGUAUGAAGAAGGCCUUCGGGUUGUAAAGUACUUUCAGUCGUGAGGAAGGUGUUAAGGUUAAUAACCUUAGCAAUUGACGUUAGCGACAGAAGAAGCACCGGCUAACUCCGUGCCAGCAGCCGCGGUAAUACGGAGGGUGCGAGCGUUAAUCGGAAUUACUGGGCGUAAAGGGCACGCAGGCGGUUAAUUAAGUUGGAUGUGAAAUCCCCGGGCUUAACCUGGGAAUGGCAUUCAAGCUGGUUAGCUAGAGUCUUGUAGAGGGGGUAGAAUUCCAUGUGUAGCGGUGAAAUGCGUAGAGAUGUGGAGGAAUACCGGUGGCGAAGGCGGCCCCUGGACAAAGACUGACGCUCAUGUGCGAAAGCGUGGGGAGCAAGGCAGGGAUUAGAUACC
rnacentral:rRNA from 1 species